GAGUUUUUGAUCCUGGCUCAGGACGAACGCUGGCGGCGUGCCUAAUACAUGCAAGUCGAGCGGACAGAUGGGAGCUUGCUCCCUGAUGUUAGCGGCGGACGGGUGAGUAACACGUGGGUAACCUGCCUGUAAGACUGGGAUAACUCCGGGAAACCGGGGCUAAUACCGGAUGGUUGUCUGAACCGCAUGGUUCAGACAUAAAAGGUGGCUUCGGCUACCACUUACAGAUGGACCCGCGGCGCAUUAGCUAGUUGGUGAGGUAACGGCUCACCAAGGCGACGAUGCGUAGCCGACCUGAGAGGGUGAUCGGCCACACUGGGACUGAGACACGGCCCAGACUCCUACGGGAGGCAGCAGUAGGGAAUCUUCCGCAAUGGACGAAAGUCUGACGGAGCAACGCCGCGUGAGUGAUGAAGGUUUUCGGAUCGUAAAGCUCUGUUGUUAGGGAAGAACAAGUGCCGUUCAAAUAGGGCGGCACCUUGACGGUACCUAACCAGAAAGCCACGGCUAAC
rnacentral:rRNA from 1 species